UACCAGUAUGUAAUGAUGAUUCUAUAACUGGUAAAUUUGUUUAUCUGUCUGGUGUUAGAGCAGGUGAUGAUACUACACAAUGUUCAUGUUCUUUAUCUACUGGAUCAUCAACCAAUAUUACAAUAACCGAACAUCGGAUACCAGGUGGAUGCGAGUAUAAAUUACAAUUCUUAUAUAUGACUGGAAGCUGGAUAUAUUCAUGUAGUCAGACAUCAAUGACAUCAAUGACAUCAAUACAGACUGACGGCAGUAUUGAGAUCAGUCUAUUAAAAGAUCAAGACGAUACGGGAUUCUCGGUCUGUCUGAAAAUAACAUCGGCAUCAUCAUCAUCUGUAAGACUGUCAUGUGGUAAAUCAAGAUGGUCAACAACAAGCUAUAAACCUACUGAUAUAGAAACAUCUUUCACAGAAAGUAUAACACCAUCCGGUGAUGAAUCUAGCCAACCAACAUUUGGUAAUGUAUCUAUCCAACCAACAUCUAAGCAACCAAUAACACCAAAAUCUGACCAACCGACAUCUGCUAGUGAAUCUGAGCAACAGACAACACCAACAUCUAAGAAUGAUAACUCGAUGUCUGCUAUAAUUGGUGGAGCUGUAGGAGGAUUAAUUGUGAUAAUCGUCAUCAUUAUUAUCAUAGUAAUCUGUGUAAUACGUAAGAAGAACGGGGGUAAUAUUUAUGACAGUCCAGAAGUUGUAGAGGUUGACCCUCAUCCUUACCAGAGCAUUCACAGAUAACAGAUCAGGGGAGAUAACUCAGACUGAUAAACAUAAUAAUGAAUUGGUUCAUCGGGAGAAUGAUCCAUAUACCAGUAUUGAUAAUGAUAUAAUUAAACCUAGCAACCGUAACCAAGGGAUGGAAUAUCUAGAAAAUGAUCUGUAUAUUAUUUCUGAUGAUGUCACUGAUGAUGUGGUCGUUGAUGAUAAACUAAAAGCAAAACUUCCGGUGGUGGCGGAAUACGCCCAGGUUAACAAAUCCAACGCAAUAAAAACCGCGAAUCGGAAAUUUAAGAUGGGACCAAAGGGGGAUAACUAUGCUAUUGUUAAUAAAGGCGGGAAGAUGAUUGACUUUAUAUAUUAAAUGGUUUCCCUAUUGAUUAAGAUUAAUUAUCUGUUAUUUGUUUUUGUAUAUAAACCUUCUGUACAUUAUUCAUCAUCAUUUGCUUGAAAACGUUGAGAGAACCCUCAACGAAACGUCACUUUAAUUAAAAUAGUAAUUGUGUUCCAUAUUAUGUUUUUGUGUUUAUUAUGAUCAAUAAUGAUAAACGUAAUGAACAAUUUUAAAAUUGGGCCUAGUGGAUAUCAAUACGCUGUUGCACAAAUAAUUAACCUUUGGAAAAGGAAGUUGCACAUAGUGAGACGAGCAGAUAUUUGCAUACCUGUGUGCAAAUAUAGUUUCAGGAUUGUCAGCAUAUUGUAUAUAGUGAUGUCAAGUAUAUAUUUACUUUUAUAUUUACAUUACCUACACAUAACCUUUCUAACGUUUUAUUAGCUUAGUAUUUAUUUCAUUUCAUCAAAAUUCAUGAAACGAGACAUUCUAGCAAAACUACCGUGGUUCAAUUAAAGCCAUAUAUCAAUAUUCGGUUUUGGUUUCAAAAGCUACAAAUUCAUACAAAUUCAAAGUGCCUAUAUUCAUGUAUUAUGUACUCAUCUGUACUGUUUACUGUGUUCAUGUAUAUAAAGCCAGAU